UGGGGAAUAUUGCACAAUGGGCGAAAGCCUGAUGCAGCAACGCCGCGUGAGGGAUGACGGCCUUCGGGUUGUAAACCUCUUUUAGUAGGGAAGAAGCGAAAGUGACGGUACCUGCAGAAAAAGCACCGGCUAACUACGUGCCAGCAGCCGCGGUAAUACGUAGGGUGCAAGCGUUGUCCGGAAUUAUUGGGCGUAAAGAGCUCGUAGGCGGUUUGUCGCGGCUGCUGUGAAAUCCCGAGGCUCAACCUCGGGUCUGCAGUGGGUACGGGCAGACUAGAGUGUGGUAGGGGAGAUUGGAAUUCCUGGUGUAGCGGUGGAAUGCGCAGAUAUCAGGAGGAACACCGAUGGCGAAGGCAGAUCUCUGGGCCAUUACUGACGCUGAGGAGCGAAAGCAUGGGGAGCGAACA
rnacentral:rRNA from 1 species